rnacentral:rRNA from 1 species
UACGUAGGGUGCGAGCGUUGUCCGGAAUUAUUGGGCGUAAAGGGCUCGUAGGCGGUUUGUCGCGUCGGGAGUGAAAACCCAGGGCUUAACCCUGGGCUUGCUUUCGAUACGGGCAGACUAGAGGUAUGCAGGGGAGAACGGAAUUCCUGGUGUAGCGGUGAAAUGCGUAGAGAUCCGGAGGAACACCAGUGGCGAAGGCGACACGCUGGGCCGUACCUGACACUGAUGCGCGACAGCAUGGGGAGCAAACAGG